rnacentral:rRNA from 1 species
AUUGAACGCUGGCGGCAUGCCUUACACAUGCAAGUCGAACGAUAACACGCCGCACGGUGCUGACGAGUGUUGAACGGGUGCGUAAUGGAUCGGAAUGUGUCACGUCGCGGGGGGUCUGUACUAGAAUGAGUAAACCAUACCGCAUACCGUCUAAGAUUGUAAGCGGGGGAGUGUAAGACUUCGAGCGAUUGUUGCGGUCCCUGUUAGAUUGAGUAGCUGGUAGGGUAAUGGCUCAUCAAGUCACCGAUCUGUAGCUGAACUGAGAGGACGACCCGCCACACUGGAACUGAGACACGGCCCAGACUCCUACGGGAGGCAGCAGUAGGGAAUUUUGGGCAAUGGGCGCAAGCCUGAUCGAGCAAUGCCGCGUGCAGGAAGAAGGCCUUCGGGUUGUAAACUGCUGUUAUACGGAACGAAACGGCUCUGGUUAAUACCCGCGGCUAAUGACGGUACCGUAAGAAUAAGCACCGGCUAACUACGUG